GUGUGAAUGUAUGAUAUAACAUGUGUAAUAGUUGGUAUAUAUGUGUAAUAGCUAUAAGAUAUUUUAUGUUAUAGCUAUUACACAUGUUAAUUUAUAUUUUUUAUAGGUUAAUAAUAAUAUAAUAUAGUAUAAUGAAUAAAUAAUAAUGAGUAAAGAAACAUAGAAAGAGUUACAGAGAGCAAACGUGAGAAAGAAAGAAGGAAAGAAAGAAAGAAAAAGAAAAGGGAAAUUUGAGGAUUAAGGCCCUAAAGUUUAAUUGUAGCAAACGUAGCACCGGAUACGUCAUCAAAGAAGGGAAAAGAGAAAGUGAACGAAGAUAUCGAUUAAAUUCGAUAAAUAGUGGCUAGGUAUGAAAGUAUAAGGACUCAGCAUACAAGCCGAUCCCCAAACUCAAAUUGGUGAAGUUUCUAUCUUUUUGGAAAAUGGCAUUGUACCUAGGAUGUCUUUUGGUUAUAUUGAAAGUAUCUAAGUUGUUAAAUGAUAUUUUGGUAUGUUUUGUAAAUGUUACCAAAACCUUAAAAAUGGUAUGUUUUGAUAUGUUAGUGAAGAGUAAUAAGAGGAAUUGUUGGUAAAUGUUGUAGAAAGAAGAAAUGAAGAUGUUAUAAACUUAGUUAUCAACAUUUUAUACUAAAACAGAUUUAGACAGUAACAGUAGUCCAACUUUGAAAAUAUACCAAAAAUAGUAUAAAGUGAAUUAGAUGAUGAAUAAAA